GGGUGAGUGUCUGAGCGGUUUAAGGUACCGGUCUUGAAAACCGGCGUACCCGUAAGGGUAUCGGGGGUUCGAAUCCUCCCUCACCCG
rnacentral:tRNA from 1 species